GCGACAACGCGUUGCCUGGGUAUCCGUAGCCAUGGCGACCGCGGAGACGAUGAUGCGCGCGAGCUCUGCCGCGGUGGCGCGCGUGAGAUGCCCCCCCCCCGCCCCCACAACCGAGGGGGCAGGGUUGAGGAGGGCGCGUGUCAAGGUUGUGCUGCCCUUUGUAAACACGAUCCUCGCUAUAGGCUCGGGUCUUUCGGUAAAGUCACGUAGAUAUGUUCAAAGAAAAUAACAAACAAAAAACUACGACUUUUUUUUUCUUUCUCCUGAUGACGAUCGCUUGUGUUGCGAUCGAAACGUCGUAGUUUUUUUUGUUACUUUUGUUAUUUUCUUUGAACCUUUCUACGUGGUGACUUUACCGAAAGACCCAAGAAUAUGAAUUCCUGCAGUCACGAAAGCUUUAAGUCACGAUCCUCUCUCUCGACUGUGCGCCUCCCCGCCCGUCCACUCCGCCUACCGCCUGGCGUCACCGAGAGGACGUGCAGAUGUGGCUGAAGUAAUGUCGACGGCGACCAGGGUGGUGGUUGUGGCGACGCGUGCCGCGAUGCGUGCUUGCAAGCGAACGAGCGAUCGCUGGGGCCCCUCUGUGCAUGUGAUGCCUUUCUGCAAACCAAGGAGGAAUUCCUGGAUGACGUUCUUAGCGGGGAGAUGGCGCGAUGGCGUCUGCCAAGAUCGCCUCCAGGACGACCUUAGCAGCGAAGCCGCCCCGUCGGAGCCGUGCCUGCCACUGUGAUGCCGCAGCAGCGAAGCCGUCCUGCCGACGCUGUGGGUGCGACGCCGCAACCUCCGAGCGACGGGGCCGACGCUGCUCCUCCUUCACCACCCCCCACAUGAACACACACACACACAGAGCCCCCACAUGAACACACACACACACCCCCAUAUAGAGCCCCCACAUGAACACACACACUCCCCCACAUAGAGCCCCAAGGGGAGGUCACCUGGCCGACAGGUUUUCACCCGGAAUCCCUCUCAUGAGACCAAACUUUACGGUUUCCUGUGACCAGGGAAUUGGGCGAUCUCCCCCGAGGCUAACUCACACCACGGCGCUGUGACUUGGGUUGUAAUCACGUGGUCACGACGGGGCUGCUGAGCCACCGCGAGUAGAAAACACACACAACACACACGGGUCAGCAGGCAGGUAGGGGGGGGGGGGACGGAGUCACUAACGGCGGGAAAAACAGGGCCGGUCCUCUGAUUGGUAGGACAAAUGUGCUUGUUUAGAGGGUAAAAAGCGGACGUCUGAGAGAGCACCGGCCCGGGGAGAGUGGCGGGAAAUCCGAGCCACCUGAUUGGCCGGGAAGGCCAGCGGAUCAGCGCCGAACUAUCUUUGAUGUGGGGAACAAUAAAAGGCAUGAGAAGGUAGGGAUAGGGUAGUCACGUUCUUCCCGAGUCAGGGAUCGUGGUAGUCACCUUACCGGCCACUGGAUCGUCCGUGAGACGAGUCACAGCGCAGCCCGGCCCCGCUCCCAACGAGAACGUCGAGCAGCCUCGCCUCUCCUUGGCUUCCCGCACAUCCAAGGCAAACCGUGAGUACGCAGGGGAGAGUUGGGAUUUAGGAUAAGAUCCUAGGGAGUUUAAUUCUAAGGGGACGAGGCAGGUCGAGUUAGACCAUCAGGAGAUAGGUUACACCUGCUCUGCUGUCUUCGACUGAUUUGGGUGAUAGGAGCUCGCAGACACGUCGGGAAUAAAUCGUUCGUGAUAAA